rnacentral:rRNA from 1 species
AGAGUUUGAUCCUGGCUCAGGACGAACGCUGGCGGCGUGCCUAACACAUGCAAGUCGAACGGACUAAUUCUUAACACUGAGUUCUUAGUAAGGAGCCAGCGAGAGCGCGAAAGAAGAGAGCGCUCCACGCUUUAUUCAAAGUGCCACCCCUACAUACUGAGGAGAGUUUCGAACUGAGGAUUGAGUGUUAAGAAUUAGUUAGUG